rnacentral:rRNA from 1 species
AUGGAGCUUCGCCGGAGCCGUCGGCGCUGCGUUGGAGCUCCGUCCGGCUGCAAUGGUGCUUCGCCGGAGUCUUCGGCGCUGCAUUGGAGCUCCGCCGGGGCUGUAAUGGAGGUUGACCGGAGUUGCAACGCAGCUUCGCCGGAGCAUUGGUGCUUUGUUGGAGCUGCAAUGGAGCUCGCCGGACGCCCUCGGCGCUCCGUUGGAAUUCCGCCGGGGCUGCGAUGGCACCGUGUUGACCGUGUCGAAGCUGUCGCGCUCGCUGCUGCUGUGAUCCAACUGUCACCAGCGCGCUAA